AGCACCGGCUAACUCCGUGCCAGCAGCCGCGGUAAUACGAAGGGUGCAAGCGUUACUCGGAAUUACUGGGCGUAAAGCGCACGCAGGCGGUCUGUCAAGUCGGAUGUGAAAUCCCCGGGCUCAACCUGGGAACUGCAUUCGAAACUGGCAGGCUAGAGUCUUGUAGAGGGGGGUAGAAUUCCAGGUGUAGCGGUGAAAUGCGUAGAGAUCUGGAGGAAUACCGGUGGCGAAG
rnacentral:rRNA from 1 species